UUCAGAUCUUUUCCCAGUUGAGUCAGUAUGGAAGAAGAGACUCCUGAACUGAUUCUUGAUUUUAUAUCAAGUAAACUGGGAACCAGUGAUAUAAAGUUUCUCGGAAUACAUCUUGGUCUCGAUAGCAACGACCUUGAAACCAUUUCCUGUGACUACAAGAAUACUCACGAGGUUAAAUUUCAGACCUUAUGGAAAUGGUUUAGUAAAAGUGACUCUUCGAGUUAUACCGAACGUUUAACAUCCGCUUUAAUUUCAAUUGAAAACAGACUUGCAGCAGAUGAACUCAAUUCAUUGGAUGUAAAACAGCUUUAUUUUAAAGGAGAGAUACCUUUUCCUAGUAAGCGUAUUUCUGACAAGGAUCUUGAUUUUCUCUCGGCGCACGUUGUUACAGAUUAUCAAAGAAUUGCAAGGUUUUUAGGAAUGCGGCAGGACAAAUUACAUACAUAUCAUGAGAAAUAUGUAAAAGACCAAGCUAUGCGAUGCUUAAAAGACUGCAAUAAGAUGGACGCAAUUUCGAGAAAGAGUAUGUGUAAUGCAUUGAACUAUGCUGAGCGCCAGAAUCUUGUGCAUCAACUGGUGAAUUCGUGGAACAAAAAAUAAUGUUGAUGUUCUUAUGCUCAUUGUUGAAGGCCAUACGAUGACCUAUAAUUGUUCAUUUCUGUGUCAUUUGGUCUCUUGUGGAGAGUUGUCUCAUUGACAAUCAUACCAUAUCUUCUUUUUUUAUCUUAUAUCUUUUACCUUAAGACAAUUUCUUAUUUAAACGAAUAAAUGGACGAAUCCUAA